GAAAUGCGAUAAGUAGUGUGAAUUGCAGACAUCAGUGAAUCAUCGAAUUUUUGAACGCACAUUGCGCCCUUUGGUAUUCCGAAGGGCAUGCCUGUUCGAGCGUCAUUUGCAUCCUCAAGCCCUGCUUGGUCAUGGACGUCUUGUCUGGGGCUUCCCCGGACUCGUCUUAAAGACAUCGGCUGCCGGCAACCCUCUCUAGCGCACAGUACAUUGUGUCUGCUCGUGGGGCUGUUGUGGCGCGCUGUUCCCAAAACCACAUCAAACGUUUGACCUCGGAUCAGGUAGGAAUACCCGCUGAACUUAA
rnacentral:misc_RNA from 1 species